UGGUGGAGUGAUUUGUCUGGUUUAUUCCGUUAACGAACGAGUCCUCAGCCUGCUAAAUAGUCUUUUCAAUUCCGAUUGGAGGUGACUUCUUAGAGGGACUUUGUGUGCAAGCACAAGGAAGUUUGAGGCAAUAACA
rnacentral:rRNA from 1 species